rnacentral:rRNA from 1 species
UGCCAGCAGCCGCGGUAACACGGGGGGCGCAAGCGUUAUUCGGAAUUAUUGGGCGUAAAGCGCACGUAGGCGGACUGGAAAGUAUGGGGUGAAAUCCCAGGGCUCAACCCUGGAACUGCCUCAUAAACUAUCAGUCUAGAGUUCGAGAGAGGUGAGUGGAAUUCCAAGUGUAGAGGUGAAAUUCGUAGAUAUUUGGAGGAACACCAGUGGCGAAGGCGGCUCACUGGCUCGAUACUGACGCUGAGGUGCGAAAGUGUGGGGAGCAAACAGGAUUAGAUA